rnacentral:rRNA from 1 species
CGCCCCUCUAACAUAUAUGCGAGUGUUUUGAAAGGGAAACGAUUGAAGUCAGUCGUACCUGCGGAUAAUCAGCUUUUUGAGUGUGAUUACGUGGAUUGUGAGGAGUUUAAUCACCCUCAUGUUUUACGUAUUCGUGCUCUUGGGUGUACUUGCCAGUGUGGUAGGUUAACAUCAAUUUUGGCGUCAUAAAAUGACUGGAGAAUGUAGCUUCGAUCUUGUAUCGAAGUGUUAUAGACUCUGGUAGAUGUGACGAUUGGGAUUGAGGAUUGCAACGGAUACCCGUUCGGGCUACGUCGUCUGAUCUCUGAAGGUUGCUCCGGUGCCGAAAGCGUGCGUUACGGUCA